GUUAUACAUAGAUAAAAAUUGUACCAAAUAAUAUAUUAAUAAUACACAAAAAUAAGGCAUGAAUUAUUUUUAUUAACACACUCUGCCAAACGAGCCCUAAGAGCAAUACCCAGCAAAACAUGACAUUAACCAGCAAAUAACAACUAUGCCAACAACAAUCAAACAACACGACAAUCUUCAGACCGACAGACGGGUACAAACCCGUUGGUUCAUCACCUUUCAUCUGCUUCCUCUCUUUUUUUGAGUUCAGCAAGCCCGAGGCUCUACAAAUUCAAAGAAAAGAUGGGGAAAAUCCAAAGAACUAUUAGAUUCAAGGUGUUUCACCUUUGAUUCGAUGACCGUGGAGUUUAAUAUGAUAGGCUCAAGCUGGAUAGUAUCCAAUCCGCCACUUUUCCUUCAAGAUGAUUGAGAAGAGGUGACCCCUUGCCCUUCUUUAUUUCGUUUCAUCAUCAAUUCUUCUGAAGUUUGCCUGUUCAAGAAUCCAAAAAUUUGAAAUUUUAAAAGGGCUUCUCCACGAAGCCGUUGCAACCUACAAUACCGCCUAUAAAAGGGGGUCUUUUCCACCCCUUUGGGGAAUAAGGUUAAAUGGUAGAAUUGGGGAAUACUUGAGUUUUUUCACUCUUCAAUUUAAUAAAUUCUCUAUUUUUCUUUUUCUCUGUUCCGAUUUACUCACGCCGCCCUCAUAAUUAUUUUUGGUUGUUCAAACUUGGAGUCGAAGUUAGUGAUGAAAUUGCUUGUCGGCUUGGCUUCCUGGUUUGCUGCCCCGAAAAAGCGUCAUUGAGUCCAUCAGACUUUCAUCUAUCGCAUUCCGUUGGGUUAAACCCAACCACUAUCGAGUCAAAGCCUUAACCAAAUCCAAAAACUGCACUGGUAUACAAUCUGUAUACAGUUAUAUAUCGUAUAUAUUGAAAGCAGCAGUUGCGCACUAUUACAUUGUGCACAAUAAAUAAUGGAGGGGAGAAAGCAGUUUUCUAUACUGAUAUACACUGCAUAUACAGUGAUAUACAGAAAAACGCAGGAAAAAGGAGAUGCUGAUAUAUAGCUGAUAUACAUGAAAAAAUGGACUGGAAAUUCAUGAGAUUUAGGUCCAAAAGCUGGGUAGCCCUUUAGUGGGCCCUUUGGGCCUAAUCUUAACUCUUUUUUAUUUAUAUUUCGUUCUAAUUUAUCUAUUUGUAUUUACUUGAACACUUUAAUCAAUUAAUCUAGAUAAAUUUCCUAA